rnacentral:lncRNA from 1 species
GUGACUGGCUUAGUAGAGGAAUUCACAUUUCUAGAGAUGAUUUGUGGACUUGGGACAAUUUUGGCCUCUGAAGUAUUUCCUGACCCCAUUUGCUGAUGCUACCCACAACCCCUUCUGUGUUACCUCAGUACGAAAUGUGUGUACAACUGGACUCAGAGACAUCACUUGCCGACGGUGCAGAAUCAAGGUCUGACUCCACUUUGAGGCUGGGCGUGGCUGUUGGUGUCUGAAAUGUCCCAGAUUAUGUCUCCAUCCAAUAGUGUAAAUUUUUUUACACCAGAUUGUUUUAUCCUGAUUACUGAGUGAGGAUUGUAUUUGCUUCUUAUAAUAUUUAUUUCUCAUCAAUUUUUGAUAAAGCCUAAACACAACAUCUUAUCAUAUAAAAAUUAAGCAUCAAUAAUUAAAUACAAUCCUUUCUUUCUGAAGAAACUUUUUUGUUGGAUUAUUUUCGGGUCCUACUUAUGAACAAAUUCCUGUUAACUCAC